GACGAACGCUGGCGGCGUGCUUAACACAUGCUAGUCGAACGGAAAGGCCUUUUCCGACGUACUCGAGUGGCGAACAGGUGAGUAACACGUGGGUGAUCUGCCCUGCACUCUGGGAUAAGCCUGGGAAACUGGGUCUAAUACCGGAUAGGACUGCACUUUAGUGUGUGUGGUGAAAAGUUUUUUCGGUGUACGAUGAGCCCGCGCCCUAUCAGCUUGUUGGUGGGGUAAUGGCCUACCAAGGCGGCCACCGGUACCCGGACUGAAAGGUUGGUCGGCCACGUUGUGACUGAGAUACUGCCCACACUCCUACGGGAGGCAGCAUGGGGAAAUAUUGCCCACUGGGGGCCAGCCUGAUGCAGCGACACCACGUGGGGGAUGACAUGCCUUCGGGUUGUAAACUCCUUUCGGCAGCGACGAAUCGUUUUGUGACGGCACCUGGAUAAGACGCUCCGGCUAACUACCUGCCAUCAGCCUCAGUAAUACCCAUGGUGCCAGCCUCGUCCGGAAUUACUGUGCGUGCAUAGCUCGUAGGUGGUUUGUCCGUCGUCUGUGAAAUUCCACAGCUUAACUGUGGGCGUGCAGGCGAUACGGGCUGACUUGAGUACUGUAGGGGUAACUGGAAUUCCUGGUGUAGCGGUGAAAUGCGCAGAUAUCAGGAGGAACACCGAUGGCGAAGGCAGGUUACUGGGCAGUUACUGACGCUGAGGAGCGAAAGCAUGGGUAGCAAACAGGAUUAGAUACCCUGGUAGUCCAUGCCGUAAACGGUGGGCGCUAGGUGUAGGGGCCUUUUGGGGUUUCUGUGCCGUAGCUAACGCAUUAAGCGCCCCGUCUGGGGAGUACGGCCGCAAGGCUAAAACUCAAAGGAAUUGACGGGGGCCCGCACAAGCGGCGGAGCAUGUGGAUUAAUUCGAUGCAACGCGAAGAACCUUACCUGGGCUUGACAUACACCGGAUCGCUGCAGAGAUGUAGUUUCCCUUGUGGCUGGUGUACAGGUGGUGCAUGGCUGUCGUCAGCUCGUGUCGUGAGAUGUUGGGUUAAGUCCCGCAACGAGCGCAACCCUUGUCUUAUGUUGCCAGCACGUUAUGGUGGGGACUCAUGAGAGACUGCCGGGGUUAACUCGGAGGAAGGUGGGGACGACGUCAAGUCAUCAUGCCCCUUAUGUCCAGGGCUUCACACAUGCUACAAUGGCCGGUACAAUGCGCAGCGAGCCUGUGAGGGUGAGCUAAUCGCUUAAAGCUGGUCUUAGUUCGGAUUGGGGUCUGCAACUCGACCCCAUGAAGUCGGAGUCGCUAGUAAUCGCAGAUCAGCAAUGCUGCGGUGAAUACGUUCCCGGCCCU
rnacentral:rRNA from 1 species